UUAAGUUAUUAAGGGCGCACGGUGGAUGCCUUGGCACUAGAAGCCGAUGAAGGACGUUACUAACGACGAUAUGCUUUGGGGAGCUGUAAGUAAGCUUUGAUCCAGAGAUUUCCGAAUGGGGAAACCCAGCAUGAGUUAUGUCAUGUUAUCGAUAUGUGAAUACAUAGCAUAUCAGAAGGCACACCCGGAGAACUGAAACAUCUUAGUACCCGGAGGAAGAGAAAGAAAAUUCGAUUCCCUUAGUAGCGGCGAGCGAAACGGGAAGAGCCCAAACCAACAAGCUUGCUUGUUGGGGUUGUAGGACACUCUAUACGGAGUUACAAAGGACGACAUUAGACGAAUCAUCUGGAAAGAUGAAUCAAAGAAGGUAAUAAUCCUGUAGUCGAAAAUGUUGUCUCUCUUGAGUGGAUCCUGAGUACGACGGAGCACGUGAAAUUCCGUCGGAAUCUGGGAGGACCAUCUCCUAAGGCUAAAUACUCUCUAGUGACCGAUAGUGAACCAGUACCGUGAGGGAAAGGUGAAAAGCACCCCGGAAGGGGAGUGAAAUAGAACCUGAAACCGUGUGCUUACAAGUAGUCAGAGCCCGUUAAUGGGUGAUGGCGUGCCUUUUGUAGAAUGAACCGGCGAGUUACGAUUUGAUGCAAGGUUAAGCAGUAAAUGUGGAGCCGUAGCGAAAGCGAGUCUGAAUAGGGGCGUUUAGUAUUUGGUCGUAGACCCGAAACCAGGUGAUCUACCCUUGGUCAGGUUGAAGUUCAGGUAACACUGAAUGGAGGACCGAACCGACUUACGUUGAAAAGUGAGCGGAUGAACUGAGGGUAGCGGAGAAAUUCCAAUCGAACCUGGAGAUAGCUGGUUCUCUCCGAAAUAGCUUUAGGGCUAGCCUCAAGUGAUGAUUAUUGGAGGUAGAGCACUGUUUGGACGAGGGGCCCCGUCUCGGGUUACCGAAUUCAGACAAACUCCGAAUGCCAAUUAAUUUAACUUGGGAGUCAGAUCAUGGGUGAUAAGGUCCGUGUUCGAAAGGGAAACAGCCCAGACCACCAGCUAAGGUCCCAAAAUAUAUGUUAAGUGGAAAAGGAUGUGGCGUUGCCCAGACAACUAGGAUGUUGGCUUAGAAGCAGCCAUCAUUUAAAAGAGUGCGUAAUAGCUCACUAGUCGAGUGACACUGCGCCGUAAAUGUACCGGGGCUAAACAUAUUACCGAAGCUGUGGAUUGUCCUUUGGACAAUGGUAGGAGAGCGUUCUAAGGGCGUUGAAGCAUGAUCGUAAGGACAUGUGGAGCGCUUAGAAGUGAGAAUGCCGGUGUGAGUAGCGAAAGACGGGUGAGAAUCCCGUCCACCGAUUGACUAAGGUUUCCAGAGGAAGGCUCGUCCGCUCUGGGUUAGUCGGGUCCUAAGCUGAGGCCGACAGGCGUAGGCGAUGGAUAACAGGUUGAUAUUCCUGUACCACCUAUAAUCGUUUUAAUCGAUGGGGGGACGCAGUAGGAUAGGCGAAGCGUGCGAUUGGAUUGCACGUCUAAGCAGUAAGGCUGAGUAUUAGGCAAAUCCGGUACUCAUUAAGGCUGAGCUGUGAUGGGGAGAAGACAUUGUGUCUUCGAGUCGUUGAUUUCACACUGCCGAGAAAAGCCUCUAGAUAGAAAAUAGGUGCCCGUACCGCAAACCGACACAGGUAGUCAAGAUGAGAAUUCUAAGGUGAGCGAGCGAACUCUCGUUAAGGAACUCGGCAAAAUGACCCCGUAACUUCGGGAGAAGGGGCGCUCUUUAGGGUUAACGCCCAGAAGAGCCGCAGUGAAUAGGCCCAAGCGACUGUUUAUCAAAAACACAGGUCUCUGCUAAACCGUAAGGUGAUGUAUAGGGGCUGACGCCUGCCCGGUGCUGGAAGGUUAAGAGGAGUGGUUAGCUUCUGCGAAGCUACGAAUCGAAGCCCCAGUAAACGGCGGCCGUAACUAUAACGGUCCUAAGGUAGCGAAAUUCCUUGUCGGGUAAGUUCCGACCCGCACGAAAGGCGUAACGAUUUGGGCACUGUCUCAACGAGAGACUCGGUGAAAUCAUAGUACCUGUGAAGAUGCAGGUUACCCGCGACAGGACGGAAAGACCCCGUGGAGCUUUACUGUAGCCUGAUAUUGAAAUUCGGCACAGCUUGUACAGGAUAGGUAGGAGCCUUUGAAACGUGAGCGCUAGCUUACGUGGAGGCGCUGGUGGGAUACUACCCUAGCUGUGUUGGCUUUCUAACCCGCACCACUUAUCGUGGUGGGAGACAGUGUCAGGCGGGCAGUUUGACUGGGGCGGUCGCCUCCUAAAAGGUAACGGAGGCGCUCAAAGGUUCCCUCAGAAUGGUUGGAAAUCAUUCAUAGAGUGUAAAGGCAUAAGGGAGCUUGACUGCGAGACCUACAAGUCGAGCAGGGUCGAAAGACGGACUUAGUGAUCCGGUGGUUCCGCAUGGAAGGGCCAUCGCUCAACGGAUAAAAGCUACCCCGGGGAUAACAGGCUUAUCUCCCCCAAGAGUUCACAUCGACGGGGAGGUUUGGCACCUCGAUGUCGGCUCAUCGCAUCCUGGGGCUGUAGUCGGUCCCAAGGGUUGGGCUGUUCGCCCAUUAAAGCGGUACGCGAGCUGGGUUCAGAACGUCGUGAGACAGUUCGGUCCCUAUCCGUCGUGGGCGUAGGAAAUUUGAGAGGAGCUGUCCUUAGUACGAGAGGACCGGGAUGGACAUACCUCUGGUGUACCAGUUGUCGUGCCAACGGCAUAGCUGGGUAGCUAUGUGUGGACGGGAUAAGUGCUGAAAGCAUCUAAGCAUGAAGCCCCCCUCAAGAUGAGAUUUCCCAACUUCGGUUAUAAGAUCCCUCAAAGAUGAUGAGGUUAAUAGGUUCGAGGUGGAAGCAUGGUGACAUGUGGAGCUGACGAAUACUAAUCGAUCGAAGACUUAAUCAA
rnacentral:rRNA from 1 species